rnacentral:rRNA from 1 species
AGUAUCAAUUGGAGGGCAAGUCUGGUGCCAGCAGCCGCGGUAAUUCCAGCUCCAAUAGCGUAUAUUAAAAUUGUUGCAGUUAAAAAGCUCGUAGUUGAAUUUCUGCUGCAUUGCUUUUGCUCCUUUACGAGUCUUUGCAUUGUGGCUUAUUUCGGACUUUGUUUUACAAUGUCCGGAUGUUUACUUUGAGAAAAUUAGAGUGCUCAAAGCAGGCUUUCGCCUUGAAUAGUUUAGCAUGGAAUAAUAAAGUAGGACUUUGGUUCUAUUUUGUUGGUUUUAGGUACCAAAGUAAUGGUUAAUAGGAACAGUUGGGGGCAUUCGUAUUUAACUGUCAGAGGUGAAAUUCUUAGAUUUGUUAAAGACGAACUACUGCGAAAGCAUUUGCCAAGGAUGUUUUCAUUAAUCAAGAACGAAAGUUAGGGGA